GGACUUAUAUGGUGUUACCUGCGGAAGGAUCAUUAUCGAGUUUUGAACGGGUUGUCUGCUGGCUCGCAAGGGCAUGUGCACGCCUGUCUCAUCCACUCUCAACUUCUGUGCACUUUUCAUAGGCCGGCUUGUGGGUGCGUUCGCGCACUUGUAGGUGUCGGGCUUAUGCUUUAUUACAAACGAUUCAGUUUUAGAAUGUCAUACUUUGCUAUAACGCAAUUUAUAUACAACUUUCAGCAACGGAUCUCUUGGCUCUCGCAUCGAUGAAGAACGCAGCGAAAUGCGAUAAGUAAUGUGAAUUGCAGAAUUCAGUGAAUCAUCGAAUCUUUGAACGCACCUUGCGCUCCUUGGUAUUCCGAGGAGCAUGCCUGUUUGAGUCUCAUGGAAUUCUCAACCUUCAGCUUUAUUGAUGAAGGCUUGGACUUGGAGGUCGUGCCGGCUCUCGUAGUCGGCUCCUCUGAAAUGCAUUAGUGCGAACGUUACCAGCCGCUUCAGCGUGAUAAUUAUCUGCGUUGCUGUGGAGGGUAUUCUAGUGUUCACGCUUCUAACCGUCUUCGGACAAAUUUCUGAACUCUGAGCUCAAAUCAGGUAGGACUACCCGCUGAACUUAAGCAUAUCAAAGGCCGGAGGAA
rnacentral:rRNA from 1 species